CUACGGGAUGCAGCAGUGGGGAAUAUUGCACAAUGGGCGCAAGCCUGAUGCAGCCAUGCCGCGUGUAUGAAGAAGGCCUUCGGGUUGUAAAGUACUUUCAGCGGGGAGGAAGGGAGUAAAGUUAAUACCUUUGCUCAUUGACGUUACCCGCAGAAGAAGCACCGGCUAACUCCGUGCCAGCAGCCGCGGUAAUACGGAGGGUGCAAGCGUUAAUCGGAAUUACUGGGCGUAAAGCGCACGCAGGCGGUUUGUUAAGUCAGAUGUGAAAUCCCCGGGCCCAACCUGGGAACUGCAUCUGAUACUGGCAAGCUUGAGUCUCGUAGAGGGGGGUAGAAUUCCAGGUGUAGCGGUGAAAUGCGUAGAGAUCUGGAGGAAUACCGGUGGCGAAGGCGGCCCCCUGGACGAAGACUGACGCUCAGGUGCGAAAGCGUGGGGAGCAAAUAGGAUUAGAUACCCCAGUAGUC
rnacentral:rRNA from 1 species